GGGCGUGUGGUCUAGUGGUAUGAUUCUCGCUUUGGGCGUGCGAGAGGCCCUGGGUUCAAUUCCCAGUAUGCCCC
rnacentral:tRNA from 1 species